rnacentral:rRNA from 1 species
GACGGAGGAUGCAAGCGUUAUCCGGAAUGAUUGGGCGUAAAGCGUCCGCAGGUGGCUAUUCAAGUCUGCGGUCAAAGACUGGGGCUUAACCCUGGAAAGGCCGUGGAAACUGAAGAGCUAGAGUGCAGUAGGGGUAGAGGGAAUUCCCGGUGUAGCGGUGAAAUGCGUAGAGCUCGGGAAGAACAUCGGUGGCGAAAGCGCUCUGCUGGACUGCAACUGACACUCAGGGACGAAAGCUAGGGGAGCGAAUGGG